AAACACAAAGGUUUGGUCCUAGCCUUAAUAUUAGCUGUCAGUAGAUUUACACAUGCAAAUAUCCGUAAGCCAGUGAGUUCAGCCCUAUGUUCUCUAAAGACUACAAGGAGCAAGUAUAAAGCACGCGUGAUAAUUACACGCAGCUAAAAACACUAAGUUUAACCACACCCCCACGGGAUACAGCAGUGAUAAAAUUUAAGCAAUGAACGAAAGUUUGACUAAGUCAUACUGACAAAAACAGGGUUGGUAAAUUUCGUGCCAGCCACCGCGGUCAUACGAAAGACCCAAGUUAAUAUUCUACCGGCGUAAAGAGUGCUUAAAUAUUUAUCAAAUAGAGCUAAGACUAGUCUUCGCUGUAAAAAGCCAAAGCCAAAGUAAAAAUCAAUAACGAAAGUAACUCUAAUUUUUGUAGCACUAAAGCUAUUACCUAAACUGGGAUUAGAUACCCCACUAUAAUUAGCCAUAAACAUAAGUAGUUCAUAACAUUACUACUCGCCAGAGAAAUACAAGCCACCGCUUAAAACUCAAAGGACUUGGCGGUGCUUUAUAUCCACCUAGAGGAGCCUGUUCCAUAACCGAUGAUCCCCGAUUUACCUCACCACUCCUUGCUAAUUCAGCCUAUAUACCGCCAUCUUCAGUUAACCCUUAAAAAGGAAAUAAAGUAAGCUUAAUCAGUAUUACUAAAGAAGUUAGGUCAAGGUGUAGCCCAUGGAGUGGAGCGAAAUGGGCUACAUUUUCUAUUACUAGAACAUUACGAAACUCUACGUGAAAUCCGUAGAAUAAAGGAGGAUUUUAGUAGUAAAUUAAAACUAGAGUGUUAAUUGAAUAGAGCAAUGAAGCACGCACACACCGCCCGUCACCCUCCUCAAUUUCUCAACAAUUAAAAGUACAUAACACCUAAUUACAAAAGAUUGAGAGGAGACAAGUCGUAACAAGGUAAGUGUACUGGAAAGUGCACUUGGAAAAAUCAAAAU
rnacentral:ncRNA from 1 species